UACGUAGGUGGCGAGCGUUGUCCGGAUUUACUGGGCGUAAAGAGCGCGCAGGCGGCUGGUCAAGUCCGAUGUGAAAGCUCCCGGCUUAACUGGGAAAUUGCAUCGGAAACUGAUCGGCUGGAAGGUGGGAGAGGGUAGCGGAAUUCACGGUGUAGCAGUGAAAUGCGUAGAUAUCGUGAGGAACACCAGAGGCGAAGGCGGUUACCUGGACAGUUACUGACGCUCAGGCACGAAAGCGUGGGGAGCAAAAGGG
rnacentral:rRNA from 1 species